CCACAGAUGACUCCCAGUUCUGAGACGCUUGUGUACAUAGCUGCGUGGUCACUCUAUGCAGUCCUGCUCUUGAGAGUAGAAGGCAACAGGCAAGAGCUAAGAACAGCCAAUGGUGAUUAUCAUGAAAUGGUUGCCCAAACUUAAAGGAUGCUCAUGCUGAAAGACCAGGAACACGCAUGAAAACACACAAUGAGUGGAGCGAUACUGAUCUACCAUCCUAAGUUCAUCAACCGUAAUACAUGGCUGUGUGAUGGUAGAUGAUGAUGAUAAUGGGGGGCGCCGGGGCUCUGCCUAGGAGGAUUCAGAGAGACUCCAGACACCUCUCUGCAUUUUCCAUGCAAU